ensembl:lncRNA
UGUAAAUUCUCUUAGUUUGAUCUAUUCUGUAUCUAUGUGAGCUGAUUUAAAAUUCUGUUGUGGCCAUGACUCCAAAAAAAUAAACACAAUCCCUAAAAAUCACCAUAAAAGGCAUAAAUAGAAGGAAUUCUCAGCAACACCAAGCCUCCCAUGCAGCCACUUUGAAAAAAAGAGACAGGAAACUGACAAGUUCUUAUAAAUACAUAUAGAACAUUUGCAGUUUUAAAAGAAAUAAACCCAGUGAUGUUUACUUCUCAUGUUAUGUUUAACAAUGUCCACACUAAAUGACAAGUUUUACAUGAGCACUGUUGAUUGGUAACAGCAAUUGCUCCGAUAUCUCAGAUGAUAGAUCAUAUGAAGCCAGCAGAAUCCAAGGUCAGUUAUAUUGCCAGGGAAAGGGAAGAACAGUGGCAAGGGUAUGUCUUGGCAGGCAUUCAUAUACACUCCUGAAAAUAUUAGUGGGAGUACUGUUGGCGGUCAUCAGAGUGUCUGUACACCUCUUGUUCUGAUUUAAUUUAGCUAUUUAUUGGUCAAAUACAAUUUAUUGUAAUGGAAUUACCCUGGAGUGAUACAUAGUUCUGUCAGAUCAAAGACAGGAAUGUCCCAAGACUGCCCCAUCGGCAGCAGUCAUCAGUUUUGCAUGACAGCAACCUUCACUGUGCUUUAUGCAACCAUUUUCAUGUCUGUAAAGACCCAGAGGGCACUGUUCUCGCUUAUUUCUACUUCCAGAAAAUUCCCAUAUCCAAAUAACUUUAUGCAAAUUUUGAGCAUCAUCCCAUCAUCGUGGAACUUGACUUCCAUCUGCCUUUUCACACAGAAGUCCACACUAUGCUAAAAUGUAUGCAAAAACUGAAAAUCAGCUUGAUGAAUCUAGUACUUGUUCAGUGUUUCACAUCUCUGCAAUGCACUGAAAUAGCUUUGUCCUGCAUUAGAUUUUACACAACACUGUGGAGUCAAAUGGUCCUGCUGGUGACUCUUCAGAGUCAAAAGGACAGUGCAAGAAAACAUUUGACUCUGUCAUCCCUGAACACAGUUCAUAUUCAGUCUUAGUAGCAUCAGAGGAGGAGGUGGAUGAAGCAAUGCAGGAAUCCUGCUGGAUUAUAUUCCC